UGGGGAAUAUUGGACAAUGGGGGCAACCCUGAUCCAGCAAUGCCGCGUGUGUGAAGAAGGUCUUCGGAUUGUAAGGCACUUUCGACGGGGACGAUGAUGACGGUACCCGUAGAAGAAGCCCCGGCUAACUUCGUGCCAGCAGCCGCGGUAAUACGAAGGGGGCUAGCGUUGCUCGGAAUGACUGGGCGUAAAGGGCGUGUAGGCGGUUUACACAGUCAGAUGUGAAAUCCCCGGGCUUAACCUGGGA
rnacentral:rRNA from 1 species